GUACACAAGGCUUUUGUUGGUGCGAUGCAAUUUAUAUAGAUGGUGCGGUUCACUCAAGCACCGCACCUUUACAUCUUGGUUUACAAAUUCCACCAACUUUAUAUCUUCCAUUUACAUUUCCCCCCUUUUGUUGCCCUGAAAAUUUUAUUUUCCCUCUAUUCCCGCUUGUUUCCGUUUACGUUUUCCCUCGCCUCAGGAAUUUCUCACCCUCACAAACCCUAAUCGAACCUCAACCCUCUCUAUCACAUCCAUCUGGUUCCCUUUGGCACCACUCACUACGGAUACCUUCCAGUGCACCAUAGUUGCCCUCUAUUGCACCGUCGUUUCCCUCUAGUUCAGCGCAUCUCUCCUGUCCGUUGUGUCCAGUUGUCCUCUAAGUUCAUAUGAGUUGAGUUGGACAUGGUGAAGAUUCAUAUACUUGCAAAGGAUAAAAGUUGGAACUGUUGAAUGCGCUUCAGGAGCAAAGUUUUGAGAGAGUAAAUGUUAGGGGUUUGGAUGGUGAUGCUAUUACUUUAAGCAACUACAUGUCUACAUGGAUGCUCAGUAUUAUGGUGAGAUUGGUAUUGGAACUCCACCUCAAAAGUUCACUGUCGUUUUUGACACGGGUAGUUCCAAUCUUUGGGUGGCUUCCGCAAAGUGCUACUUUGUCCCUUCCCGUCUUGUUUGAGCUUGUUGAUAAAACCGAUCUCUCUGUGUCACACAGACACAUAUUCACACGCGUGUGCUCUGUUUUGACUCGAUGGAUGUUUAGUUUCGUCUGGUGCUGAUCGUUAUUGAUAUGGAUGCAGGUAGCUUGCCUUCUUCACUCAAAGUAUAAGUCUAGCCAGUCAAGUUCCUAUAAGAAAAAUGGUUAUUUGCAAACAAGUUAUGAGUCUAAGUUUGCAAUCAUGAGCAGGUUAUUGUAGGUCGUCUAAGUUUGCAACAUGGUGGCAUACAACACAGGAAUGGUGAGACAAAGUUUGUGAAGGCAUCAUGGAGCCUAACUUGUUAGAUCCACUCUCACAAAAAACCUUGUAGAACUGCUAGCUGAGGAUAACCAACUUCUACCAUUGAAUGGUGAGACAAAGUUUGUGAAGGCAUUACUGAGGUUGUUGCAUUUUGUUUCAGAUGAUUCCAAAGGGGUUGCUCUCGACUUCGAUAAUGCAUGCAGCUAGCUGAAACCAUUCUAGAGGCGGUUUUCUACUGAUCGGGUUGCAAGGUUUGAAGAGGUCGGUUCGAGUUGCAAGUGGCAUGAAGCGGUCCGUUCGACAUAUUUGGAAUGCAAACUUUUUUGAGCUUCACAUGGAAAAUAUGUACAUUUUCAAAUGGUAUACGUUUGUGUUUCAUUCGGAAAACAUGUUUUUUUAAUGGCAAGUCGGAAGACAUGUACUUUUAGGAAUCUUGUAUAAUAUUAGUUUUUAUUUUUUUUG